rnacentral:rRNA from 1 species
AGAGUUUGAUCCUGGCUCAGGAUGAACGCUAGCUACAGGCUUAACACAUGCAAGUCGAGGGGCAGCGGUAUCGAAAGCUUGCUUUCGGUAGCCGGCGACCGGCGCACGGGUGAGUAACGCGUAUCGAACCUGCCUCAUACUCGGGAAUAGCCUUGCGAAAGUAAGAUUAAUGCCCGGUGUUUUCAGAGUCCCGCAUGAGGCUUUGAACAAAGAUUUAUCGGUAUGAGAUGGCGAUGCGUCCCAUUAGCUUGUUGGCGGGGUAACGGCCCACCAAGGCAUCGAUGGGUAGGGGUUCUGAGAGGAAGGUCCCCCACAUUGGAACUGAGACACGGUCCAAACUCCUACGGGAGGCAGCAGUGAGGAAUAUUGGUCAAUGGGCGGAAGCCUGAACCAGCCAAGUAGCGUGCAGGAAGACGGCCCUCCGGGUUGUAAACUGCUUUUAGUUGGGAAUAAAACGGGGCUCGUGAGCCCCCUUGCAUGUACCAUCAGAAAAAGGACCGGCUAAUUCCGUGCCAGCAGCCGCGGUAAUACGGAAGGUCCGGGCGUUAUCCGGAUUUAUUGGGUUUAAAGGGAGCGCAGGCGGACCUUUAAGUCAGCUGUGAAAUACGGCGGCUCAACCGUCGAACUGCAGUUGAUACUGGAGGUCUUGAGUGCACACAGGGAUGCUGGAAUUCAUGGUGUAGCGGUGAAAUGCUCAGAUAUCAUGAAGAACUCCGAUCGCGAAGGCAGGCAUCCGGGGUGCAACUGACGCUGAGGCUCGAAAGUGCGGGUAUCAAACAGGAUUAGAUACCCUGGUAGUCCGCACAGUAAACGAUGAAUACUCGCGGUUUGCGAUACAAUGUAAGCCGCCAAGCGAAAGCGUUAAGUAUUCCACCUGGGGAGUACGCCGGCAACGGUGAAACUCAAAGGAAUUGACGGGGGCCCG